GACGAACGCUGGCGGCGUGCCUAAUACAUGCAAGUAGAACGCUGAAGGAGGAGCUUGCUUCUCUGGAUGAGUUGCGAACGGGUGAGUAACGCGUAGGUAACCUGCCUGGUAGCGGGGGAUAACUAUUGGAAACGAUAGCUAAUACCGCAUAAUAUUGACUAUUGCAUGAUAGUCAGUUGAAAGGUGCAACUGCACCACUACCAGAUGGACCUGCGUUGUAUUAGCUAGUUGGUGGGGUAACGGCUCACCAAGGCGACGAUACAUAGCCGACCUGAGAGGGUGAUCGGCCACACUGGGACUGAGACACGGCCCAGACUCCUACGGGAGGCAGCAGUAGGGAAUCUUCGGCAAUGGACGGAAGUCUGACCGAGCAACGCCGCGUGAGUGAAGAAGGGUGUCGGAUCGUAAAGCUCGGUUGUAAGAGAAGAACGAGUGUGAGAGUGGAAAGCUCACACUGUGACGGUAUCUUACCAGAAAGGGACGGCUAACUACGUG
rnacentral:rRNA from 1 species